AUUCAAUAUUCCCUUUAUUGUCUUCAAAUGCCAGUUGUUUCUGCAGUGAUCGGGCAAUAAAACAACAACAAAAACACACAGAAUUAAUUAUAAUAAUAACAUAUUAUCCUUGAAACAGUUGUCUUUAAAAACACUAGGGCUCCAGUGGCUCAUGAUCCAGGUGCUGCAAUACAGCUUCCGGCCACGCGGGGCAGUAACACACGAAAUGGCGGUUCUUGCUACAUCUAGUUAGCGAAGAAAACAUAUUUGACUCGACGAAGUAAAUUAUUUGCACUCUUUUGAAGUAAGCCAUUAGAUAAUAACAUAUCACGUUAAUGGUUGUUGAUAACUAUUAUGGAGAAGUAUAUUAGUGUUUCGGUGGAUAAUUAGAUGUUAUUGGCGUGUAGCUAGCAACCACUUUGGCAUUAGCAUAAUACGGGCGAGCUAGCCAGGGUUUGUUUGGGUAAAUAAUAUACGCGGCCUCUCAUUUUAGCUUUGUGUCAGAAAAAAAAGUAAAAGAGUAAAAGUGAUCAGCAACAGGUGCCGUCAUCAGGUAGCCGCAGUCAGACAUCAGCAGCACAGAUAGCGCUAGUGUUGGUGCAGACAGAUUAGUCCCAGCGCCAGCAUCAGGCCUGUCAUCAGCCACGGAAGCAGCGUUCGCUCGGCAACGCUUGUAAACGACGGCUCUUGUGGGACCGAUAAAGCAAAGAUGAGAGGGAAGCCGGCGGGCCGGCAGUCAGAACAAGAAGAAUACCACAGCAGCAGCAAGUUCACAAAGAUGGCGGGAGGGGGGGCUUCAAUAAACCACUCACCUGCUCCGGAGAGGAAGGAUUAUUCACUCAUGUCCCAAAUUGACUGGAGCUUUAAUGGAGCAUUUCAACGCAGCAAUUUCUGAAGUUUGAAAAGCUCCGAGGAAAAGGCUGACGGACGGACGUACAGGACACUGACCUUGGAGGAAACAUCCAUUACAGUAGCAGUGAUCCCCAAACACACUGACUGGGAGAAUGGCUUAUUGUAUUGUCAUCAGCAAGUUUGCAGCUCUGACUGUAGAGCGCUGUCUUGGGCCCAAAACUGAAGGUGUGUUGUCAUUGCUGCUGGAGUCCGGCCCAGUGUAAUCGAUGGGAUUUGGGGAUCGGAUAGUUCAGUUUACGCACACAAGGUCAAGAAAGACUCCUCUAAAGACACCAUCAGUCCACCUCCCACCUAUCCUCUCCCCAGUCUGCAACUCGGUGCCGUGCAAGUGAAGGUUCAUUUGUCUGAGUGUGCAUAUGUAUUUGUGUGCAAAGUGUGCAUGCAGCGACUGAGCAUAAACCCAGUGAGAUCAAAAUGGAGGACAAGUGGAGGACCAAAGAUAAAGUAAGUACUGAAGAUGGGGGGUAAAGGAGACAGAGGGGAGGGGAGGAUGAUGAAGAAUGUGCUACAGGGAAUAGAAUUAAAGAGUGUCAGACUAACCACUUGACAAAGGAAGCGGAGGGAGGGAUGGAGGAACACAGCUGCUGCAAGGUGUGGACAGCGCAGCGUCAUGACUCUCUGGGUGUAAUUAUGACAGAAUGGUCUCUGAUUGAUCGGCUGAGCCUGCAGGACCUCCAAAGCACCUCUGUGUUUUUGCAAUGCUUAGUUCCCGUCCCCCGGACCCCAGUUCCCAGCAGCAUGAUUCAUGAUCACCGGAGCUCUCGUCUGACCCGGCAGGCCCACAGCCCCAGCCAUCAGGUUGAAAGGAGGCCGAGACUGCGGCAAUUACAGGCCUAACCUGGAACAUCCAAAGCCUAUUGACCACUCUGUCAGCCCUGUGGAACAAAGCCUGACUUGACAUGCUGUUAGCGGUGGUGCGGGGGCCGCCGAGUGCAGGGGAAGUGGUGGCUGAUAGGCGUGACGGAGAAGAGAAAGAGAGGGGGAGACAGGGGACGCCUGUUUGGGAUUUACAGCCGCGGCGUGCUCACCUAGCAGCUGACCGUACUGCUUCACAGGUCAGCCGCUCUAACCGGACUCCAUUAAUACACCAGUCUACCUCGUGGCAGACUUUAUGCUCCAGUGCGUCCACCGCCUUAGGGACAACUUCACUGGCACUUUACUCCAGAACAGGCCAGGAAAGGGAGGAGGCCUGGGGUCCGGGAACAAAGGAGCCCUCUGAAAACAGACGAAGGGUGAGAAAGGGAAAAGUCUUACAGAAAGUUCCAAGAGCUGUUUUUCCUACUGUAGAUGUGUAAACUCGACUGUAUGGCGCAGCGUGAGGAGGCAAUUUCACAGCUUCAGCUUGUAAUGAAAGGAACUUUUCCUGUUACAAAGGUCAGGUUUUUUUCUUUUUUGGAAUUCAAGUUCAUCCGAUAGACACAGUUCUACUUUCUGGCCGUAUAGCGCGAAGCACGCUUCGGGGACCGGCCCCAACAUCAUGGUAUAAAUGUGUUUUACGGCCAGGCAGCUGCUGGGGGCAGCCUGCUUUUAAUGCGUUCUGGCCGGGUACAACAUGGCCACCUGCUUGGCGUAAAAAGCCUCGCCGCGAUGCUGGGCUUUAUGGGCACGUUCCGCAGCCAAACAAAGAUAUACAAGGACAUGCGUGAGGAGAGCUGCCCGCCGCAUAUGGCCCCUGCGCUCCAGCAGGUCCUCGUCCUCCCGCUUCCGGAGAGGCGGCGUGUCAGAGGGACCCCGCCCGGUAUGGGGCUCACGCCUGAGCAGCUCUCACCUCCGCGCGGCCGCGUUUUCCCGCAGGCGUGACUGUUUGUCAGAGUCUGACAACUUUGUUGAGCUACGCUGCAGAAGAGCGGCUGAUUACGCCGAGAGCCGGGAUGUCUGCGCCGCCGCUGGGGGGGGAUCCGCAGAUGAUCACCCCCCAGGACCCGGAGCGUCUCUGGGGCUGCGGAGGGAGGCGAGUGGCACUCAGCCACCUGCUCGUCUGAUAAACAAGUUCAUGUAUGAGGAAGAGAGGUUUCAGCGUGUCAUCCCUCCCUCCCUCGCCCACUAUCUCACUUUCACAACAGCGAGCGGCGGAGCAAAAUUACUCCCCGCCAGUGAAUAAUAAGGAAGUUUAUGAAACGUGACGAAUGCGACGGCGCUCUACAUGAAAUACCAAUGAGGGAGGCGCCCCAGCGUGGCGAAUGCUACAUCCUAAUAUCAACAGUCACCUUGUGCUACUCCCUCUCCUCCCAGAAGGACACAUCACGGGAAGGCGUGUGAUCGCGUGGCGUCGAGCGCUGACACUGACGCCCCCGGGGGCGCGGGCGGGUGAACGGACACGCGCCGGCGGCGUGGCACCGCUGCAGGCUGGCACCGGGAGGGGGGGGGAGGGGGGGUUGUCAGUGCCACCUGUCCCCGUGACCGCGGCUGCGUCUUCGGUCGCCGCAGGGGUCAGAGGAGGCGCUGAGCAGUCAGACGCCCUCGAUGCUCAGCGACUGACUCAACCUAAACGUUGGGAAGCUGUGAGGAUGAAACACGUAAUGGGCUGUCAAACAACGGAAGUAGGCCGCAAGUGUGAUGAUGAUCCGUUAUUUGAGCUAUUUAGCAAAUAAAAUGGCAAAUAUUUGCCGGCUCCAGUUGUUAAAUCUGAGCAUUUUUGUAAAUCUGUGUAAACGCCAUUGAAAAGAAAGCAAGAGAGAAAAAGAGGAGUGGUUUACUAUAAUCAUACAUAAUCAUAAUUGACCUUUGACCCUCGUGCACCACAAAAUAAGGUGAUGUAAAAAGGACAGAAUAUCAUCCGCAUUAAACAUGAUCGUUAGCAGCGGUCCUGCAUCAAACAGUGAAGGAAUCAACUUAAGCUGCUUCUCCGUCGAGUUCCCUGAGCUCCGCGUUAUAAAUCACGCUGUAGGUUUACGCCCAGGUCACAGCUGCUCCUCUUCAUCCACUCUCUCCUCUCACUCCUGCACAGUGGAGAAACAAACGUCUCUCGUGUGUGAAAUCAAGCGUUUCUGUCUCGCUUUUAUCUCUGACGGACGUCCCACUCGGUGGGUUAUCACUCGCUGCCGGCCGCGACAAAGAUGAAAAGUCUACUUUGUUUGCUCGCUUGCAAAAAAUGAGUUAUCUUGCAAGAACAGCGUUAUUAAUCAUUCUGGGUUAAGACACAGCACUGGCAACUAACUGUGAGGAAGCCUGAAUGGGAUGCCCUCUAUUUUUCAUGAGUGUUUCUCUGGGUGUUUGUGUGCAUGCAUGUAGGUUUAUUCUUGGGGUCAACCCUUUUAUCCUCGUCUUUCAGGAGAGAGUGCGCGAGUGUUUGUGUGCUGCUGCAAUCUCCGCAGGGACUAUUUCAGUUGAGGGCAAAGAACACAGGGAAACUUUGAAAGAGCUUUUAUGUACUUUUGAGUGAAAUGAUCCUAAGAAAGGCUUUUUAUAAAAAGACUUUUAUUCAGACUUCUACAUCCAGAAGGGCACUUACUCAAUUACCAAGCUCCCUUCCUCCUUUUCUGCAUCCAUCAAUCCAUCCUCUAUUCUUAGGACUGCGUGUGUGUGUGUGUGUGUGUGUGUGUGUGUGUGUGUGUGUGUGUGUGUGCGUGUGUGCGUGCGUGCGUGCGUGCGUGCGUGCGUGCGUGCGUGCGUGCGUGUGUGUGUGUGUGGAGGCAUCGCUGUGGGCUUGGAGCAUGAACUCAGUAGUAGAGCGAUGUGGGGCAUGUCAGUGAGAGUAUGGUUAGUCAGCCAUUUGGAUCCACUUUUUAGCCCUAUUGUGAGACUUCAAAGCAUCAUGCAAGCAGUAAAAAGUCAACAUGUUUUAUUGCUAAUUGUUCUUCUGUUGACUGAUUUGAAUUUUAGCUUUUACCUUGAUUUCUUGGCUAAAAUGGAGCACAUCCAGAUCAGGCUGAUAUAUGACAUGCUCGCUAACUCAAUGAGAGGUAAACUCAUUCUGUCGCCCUCGCUUUGGCAUCUCUGCUCUCUUUUAACUGCAGCCUUGUCACUCAGUAGCCUGAAAGGCAAGACCUCACACAGGUUUGACAGAUAAAAGUCUCCUCACUUCAUUCGUUUGACAUUUUACCUCCCAGAAAAGUUUCAGCCUCUCUCCUCCCUUGCUUUUUUGCCUUCCGUCACACACACGCACACAC